AUUGAACGCUGGCGGCAGGCUUAACACAUGCAAGUCGAGCGGAGAUGAGGUGCUUGCACCUUAUCUUAGCGGCGGACGGGUGAGUAAUGCUUAGGAAUCUGCCUAUUAGUGGGGGACAACAUUCCGAAAGGAAUGCUAAUACCGCAUACGCCCUACGGGGGAAAGCAGGGGAUCUUCGGACCUUGCGCUAAUAGAUGAGCCUAAGUCGGAUUAGCUAGUUGGUGGGGUAAAGGCCUACCAAGGCGACGAUCUGUAGCGGGUCUGAGAGGAUGAUCCGCCACACUGGGACUGAGACACGGCCCAGGCUCCUACGGGAGGAAGCAGUGGGGAAUAUUGGACAAUGGGCGGAAGCCUGAUCCAGCCAUGCCGCGUGUGUGAAGAAGGCCUUUUGGUUGUAAAGCACUUUAAGCGAGGAGGAGGCUACCUGGAUUAAUACUCUAGGAUAGUGGACGUUACUCGCAGAAUAAGCACCGGCUAACUCUGUGCCAGCCGCCGCGGUAAGAC
rnacentral:rRNA from 1 species